UGGGGAAUCUUAGACAAUGGGCGCAAGCCUGAUCUAGCCAUGCCGCGUGAGCGAUGAAGGCCUUAGGGUUGUAAAGCUCUUUCAGUGGGGAAGAUAAUGACUGUACCCACAGAAGAAGCCCCGGCUAACUCCGUGCCAGCAGCAGCGGUAAUACGGAGGGGGCUAGCGUUGUUCGGAAUUACUGGGCGUAAAGCGCACGUAGGCGGACCAGAAAGUAGGGGGUGAAAUCCCGGGGCUCAACCUCGGAACUGCCUUCUAAACUCCUGGUCUUGAGGUCGAGAGAGGUGAGUGGAAUUCCGAGUGUAGAGGUGAAAUUCGUAGAUAUUCGGAGGAACACCAGUGGCGAAGGCGGCUCACUGGCUCGAUACUGACGCUGAGGUGCGAAAGCGUGGGGAGCAAACA
rnacentral:rRNA from 1 species